rnacentral:misc_RNA from 1 species
AGGCACAGGCCUUUAAUGUGGAAAAUAGAAGGAUAGAAAAGAAGUGUACAGUAAAUGCCAUCAUUUCCAAGAAACAUAAUGCCUAAUAAUAUAAAAUUUCAAGAACACGCAUAGCUAUGCCCAAAAAUAUUAAAUAAAAUAAAGAUGCACCUUUGCAAUUGUGUAUUCUGAAAUAAUUUUAGCAACUAUAUUCUUGUGAAUUUGAGUGAUGUAGACAUACAAAUGGAAAGUGAAAGUUCAAAGUGCCUGGUGUUGUAGGAUUCAUCAAAUCAAACCUAACCAUUUUUCUCUCUUGUGCUAGUAACAUCUUCCAAGUUUACAAUGCCAUUCAGCAUACAAAGAGUGGAAUAAAGCAAACAGGUAAUCAAGUUACUCAUAAAAAGCAAUGUAUGUAAAGAAAGAAAACCUUGU